rnacentral:rRNA from 1 species
AUUGAACGCUGGCGGCAUGCUUUACACAUGCAAGUCGAACGGCAGCACGGACUUCGGUCUGGUGGCGAGUGGCGAACGGGUGAGUAAUACAUCGGAACGUACCCAGUAAUGGGGGAUAACUAUCCGAAAGGAUAGCUAAUACCGCAUACGCCCUACGGGGAAAGAGGGGGAUCGCAAGACCUCUUGUUAUUGGAGCGGCCGAUGGCUGAUUAGCUAGUUGGUGAGGUAAAGGCUCACCAAGGCGACGAUCAGUAGCGGGUCUUAGAGGACGAUCCGCCACACUGGAACUGAGACACGGUCCAGACUCCUACGGGAGGCAGCAGUGGGGAAUCUUGGACAAUGGGCGCAAGCCUGAUCCAGCAAUGCCGCGUGCGUGAAGAAGGCCUUCGGGUUGUAAAGCGCUUUUGUCAGGGAGCAAAAGGUGGUGGCUAAUAUCCAUCGCUCUUGAGAGUACCUGAAGAAUAAGGACCGGCUAACUACGUGCCAGCCGCCGCAGUAA